rnacentral:rRNA from 1 species
AUUGAACGCUGGCGGCAGGCCUAACACCUGCAAGUCGAGCGAGCGGCGGAAGGGUGCCUCAUGUCUGGGCACCUGCCUGUCGGAGGGGGAUACGUACUGGAAACGGUAGCUAAUACCGCUUACCAUCAGAUGCGCCCAGAUGGGAUUAGCCAGUAGUGGGGGUAAUGGCUCACCUAGGCGGCGAUCCCUAGCUGGUCUGAGAGGAUUACCAGCCACACUGGAACUGAGACACGGUCCAGACUCCUACGGGAGGCAGCAGUGGGGAAUAUUGCACAAUGGGCGCAAGCCUGAUGCAGCCAUGCCGCGUGUAUGAAGAAGGCCUUCGGGUUGUAGAGUACUUUCAGCGAGGAGGCGUUACUCGCAGAGGAAGCACCGGCUAACUCCGUGCCAGCAGCCGCGGUAAUAC